GAUGAGCGCUGGCGGCGUGCCUAAUACAUGCAAGUCGAGCGAACAGACGAGGAGCUUGCUCCUCUGACGUUAGCGGCGGACGGGUGAGUAACACGUGGAUAACCUACCUAUAAGACUGGGAUAACUUCGGGAAACCGGAGCUAAUACCGGAUAAUAUAUUGAACCGCAUGGUUCAAUAGUGAAAGACGGUUUUGCUGUCACUUAUAGAUGGAUCCGCGCCGCAUUAGCUAGUUGGUAAGGUAACGGCUUACCAAGGCGACGAUGCGUAGCCGACCUGAGAGGGUGAUCGGCCACACUGGAACUGAGACACGGUCCAGACUCCUACGGGAGGCAGCAGUAGGGAAUCUUCCGCAAUGGGCGAAAGCCUGACGGAGCAACGCCGCGUGAGUGAUGAAGGUCUUCGGAUCGUAAAACUCUGUUAUUAGGGAAGAACAAAUGUGUAAGUAACUAUGCACGUCUUGACGGUACCUAAUCAGAAAGCCACGGCUAACUACG
rnacentral:rRNA from 1 species